rnacentral:rRNA from 1 species
UACGUAGGGUGCAAGCGUUAAUCGGAAUUACUGGGCGUAAAGCGUGCGCAGGCGGUGAUGUAAGACAGAUGUGAAAAUCCCCCGGGCUCAACCUGGGAACUGCAUUCGAGACUGCAUUACUAGAGUAUGGGGAGAGGGAAGUGGAAUUUCCGGUGUAGCGGUGAAAUGCGUAGAUAUCGGAAGGAAACAUCAGUGGCGAAAAGCGACUUCCUGGACCAAUACUGACGCUCAUGUGCGAAAACGUGGGGGAGCAAACAGG